CCCUAACGAGCAGCGCCGCUUCGAGCUCGCUGUCGUUCGAGUCAGCAACAACACCAACGCCUGCGCCGUUGCCGGCACUCAUCGGAAACGCCGCGGCCGCGCUCGCGACCUUUGACAUCCUCAAAUCCUUCUUUCCAGAUAAGUGUCACACUUAAUAUCCGUGCCACUUUACCAUUGCAGUUCAUCACUAGUUUGUCUAAGCUCUUCCAAAAAUGUUUAUGUAGAUCGAUCCUAUCCACGACCUAUUGCUUGUGGGAUAUCUGACUGCCUCCGCUACUAAAUUGAUCACGUUUUAGAUCCCUCUUGUUGCACCAAGUGGACUCCAUUGCCGUUUCUUCACCUAGCAGCUCCACCAUACCUAGGUUUUUCUUUUCUUUUUCAAAUAUUUUCCAGAUCUAUAGUUGUAACCAAAUCUGAACAUUUUCUGUUUUCGAUUGCUUUGACCUGGACUUGGCUUCACCACUUGUCAAAUUGUGAAUUACACUGGUAUUUUUUGUCCAUUUACACCAUUGUCAGCUCUCAAAUCGUAGUAAUCCAUAGAAGUUUCUUCAUAUUCCUUAGACCUUUGCUCAUUUAAUAAUCGCUACUCGGGCGUUCAUAGCCGCUCGUAAUUUGAUUUGCAACUGCCAUCUCACGGACAUCAAGGUUAUUUUAUCGUCUUAUACCUCUGAAGAGCUCUUACUCAUCCCUUGAUGCUUGCUCCAUAUAUCAUAGCCGGCUUAUACUUGUUUUUCAUACCUUGUAGUUGAGCUUUAUUUGCAACUGAACUCAUGGCUCCCAAGACCAACAAAGCUGUCAACUGGGCUAAAUCCAGCAUGUCCCCACUUAUGCUGGACAACUUGGUGAACACCGGGUUGCUCCCAUCCCAAGCCGAAAUAGAAUGGCGCGCACCCGAUGAGGAGAUCCAUCCACUACCUGAGCACAAGGGAGGACCGAGCAUAGAACUUGGAGGAGCAACCAUCCAAAGAAGGAAAAGCUCGACCUUUCCCAACGUAUCACUGGCGAGCCACUCGAAAGGAUGGCACAUGCCCGGUUUUAUUGCAAGGAUACUUCACCAGCACGGCAUCAUCCUUUGUCGGGUUAUAGACUAGACCGGCUUGACGCUUCGACGAUCUUUCCAGGUGUUGGAUGAACUGGUGAAUCCAACCCCUUAGCCUAAGGGGCUGUCUUAUGCAUGAAUAUAUCGAUGAGUUGAAAGACCCUCUGCGCUUCGGCCAGGUUGACUUGACAACAUCUGAGCUCAUAAAAUCCACCAAGAAGCUUCUAUGCGAGAGCCGAGGCAAAAUCGGCCUUGUAGGCUUGGCCCUCUUCUUUGCACGCAACCUGGCACAUCCAGUAAGUCGCCUUUUGAUUUUUCAUUCAUAUUGUUUUAUAUAAAUUUGCUUUUUCGCUCUGCUUAAUAUGUCAGCUUGUUGCUUCGUGCAUGAGAAUUCUGAGUGGUGGAAAACUGGACCUCAAAAUCCUAGUCCACCUUGGGAUGAAGAACCGGAAGAAGAAGAGGAAAUUGAGCUAGAAGAUCUUGACUCUCUUGGCCGCCUCUUUAAUGAACUUGCUAACGCCACCACGUCACAGGAAAAUACUGGGACCAGUCGAGCCAAGGAGACUGAGAAAACGCAACACGAGGCCGGCUUGAAAAGGAAGACCCGGGCCAGUUCUGGCGAGUUGUUAGAUGGUCUAUCAUACCAGCCUUCUCCGCACCAUGUUAGGACUCAAGAGAAUCCCAACCCGGUGACAUCUUGCCCGAGGGCGGGUCAAAUCAAGAUACCGUUGAGUCAUUCUGACCCGGAUUACCAUACGACUUCACUGUCUUCUGAUGAAUCUUGCUCCAACCAAGUGUCGCCUUUUAAUAUCAAUCGUGGGUAAGUAAUCAAGAAAAUUAUGCUAUUUAACAUCUCAUUUCCUACUUUGCGGACCCGCUUUUAUAUAAAUUAAGGGCUAAGGUUUUUGUCAAAAACAAAACUGGCGAGUCCUCUGCUGCCAUGACAGGAACUGAGGAGGAAAUCCCUUCUCAUGACGUUGCAACAGGCAACCUGGAGAUUCAGGUCAACCCGGCUAGUGAAGAAGAGCUGUCUCACCAGGACAACCCGGCAAGCCCUGUCCGCGCUUCCACACCUCCUAUUGUGGAGGAAAAUAAAGAAGAUUCGAAGGAUAACUCAGCCGGUGUUGAUCCGGAAACCAAGGCCCGGGAUAACAUGGUUGUUACUAGUGAACACUGCGACCCAGCUCCUGAAACUUCAAUGACCUUGGCUAAAAUCAUAUCAAAGAAUUAUUUGCCAAGUAAGGAGAAGGGAAAAGCUAGUCUUCAAUCACUUGAAAAUUUUGAUGUGACCUCUCUGCAUCAUGGAUUCUUGACCCGGCUAUCUGAGAGCCAAGAUACUGAAAUUGCUAUGGCCAACACGUUGAAGAGAAAGUAUGAGUCUGUAUGUGCAGGAUAUGCCGAACAAAACCGAGUCACGGGAGGCCGGCUUAUAGAAAGACCAGGAAGAAAUGAAGCUUCGAGAAGAGGCAGAAAGCUUGUCUUCAGAUUUCCAAAGGUCCGUUCUUCUGUCACAGACACAUAGAAAAACCAAGGCUGACUUUGAGCAAGAAAAAGGCCGCCUUAUUGAAACGCACAGAGGAGGCCGAGUUGAAACUCCAGCCGGUGACCCAAGAACUGCAGAGACUUAAGGGUCACAUUACUGACAUGUGCAUAUCCAUCUUUGGCAAAAAACAUCAUAAUGUGUUGGAACUCCCUCCUGUGAAGCUGAAGGCCGUUUAUAAAUUUCUGGAACAGCUAUAUGUGGGUGGUGCUAAGUGUGUAAUGUCAAUCAACAACACCAAGGAGCCACCUCGCCACAUUAUGGAUAUGAUCAGGGAAUUAUCCACUGUUCCAGAAUGGAUCCAGGAGUUGAAGAAGGAGGCUUGCCGACAAGGGGCUAUGUGCUCACUGGCGCGUGCGAAGGCUUAUCACCCGGAGAUGGAACCGACUCUUCUAGCUGAUGGGUUCCCAUAAUUCAACGUAGAUAACUCACUUUUUACUGAAAAGGACUAUCUAUGCUGUGUGAAGGAGACCCGAGUCAGCAACGACGAUUGCAGAAACAUUGGAUCUAACCAAAUUUCAAGCCGGCUAUUCUAAAGCCGAGAAACGCAGAGAUCUGCCCAAGCCAUAACCCGUCGAGCUGAUUCCUCCAUGUAAGUAAUCUUUUGCAUCCGACGUCGGCACUCCGACUUUGAUCAAGGAAGACAUGGUGUUUGAAGCUCUGUCUUCAAUUCAGUGGGUGGCAGAUGACCCCCAGACUUAAGGAGCAGAACAGGCGGCCCCUGAAAUGCCGGAAGAGUCGACACAUGCUGACUCGGCUUCAACUAGUGCAGAGGGAGAUCAAGUCAACGUCAACCCGGAGGGCUCCACCAUCGGCUUACAAUAGUGAGCUUCUUCAAUUGUGAUGGUUGCGUUGAAAAACAUGGUGAAAAUAGCCUGGAUGUGGCUUUGUAAUUUUUGGGUGUGAGAAAAACUCCCAUGUUGUUGCAAUGCCAUCGUGCAUUGAAUACUUCACCGUUGAGCCAAUGGCAAUCUUUUGAAAUAUAUGUCAAUCACAGUUGUUGCUCAACCCGGUGGUAUGCACUUUAUGUUUUGAGUGAGUCUUUGGUCGUGGUUGCGGUGCAACCCGGCAAAAUAUAUGUACAGAAAUUGUUAAGUGUCACAGUUCUUUAGACAAAGCACAAGUUCAAUUUCCCA